UGUACCGACACAUAUUCGAGCACCAACGCGCACGCUACAUUCGCCCACGAAGAACAGCGGAAGACGUCACCGCACCGGCAAGGAUGGCCUCGGUUGUCGUUGUAUCCGCGUCCUAUGACAAGCAGAUACGGCUCUGGGACGCUACCUCGGGUCGCACCGUCAAGAGCUUUGUCUUCCAGGACUCGCAGAUCAACAGCCUCUUCUUGCUGCCGGAUACGGGCUAUCUGGCCGUGGCAGGCUUUGGGGCUCUGCGCCUGUAUGACCUCGGCACUUUCCUGCACAGCGGCGGGGGCGCGGGAACUGGCAGUGGCGCAGGCACCGGUUGCAGCAGCAGCAGCAGCAGCAGCACGAACCAGGCCCCGCCGGUCUACUCCUCGUUCGAGAGCCAGAGCUCGAUGAACUUCACGAGUCUAGCGGCAGUGCCACUAGCGCACAACUGCAACAACGAUGAGCAGAGCAGCACCAUGUCCGGCUCGUCGCGUCAGCUGACGGACUCCACAACGUCGACGACGCUAAACGAUCAGCUGCUCAGCACCGUCGCCAUGGUGGACACAGCUGCGCUGCUGGGCAGCGCGCCGUGUCGCGAGGCCGCCUUCCUCCUUAUCGCAACGAGCGAAGACGGGCACAUCCGCUUCUUCGACACCCGAUCCGCUGUAACACUGCGGAUGCUAAAGGACAUUGCAACGGGAGCCGCCAUCACCUGCAGUGCCGUGUCCCCAGACCGUCGCUAUCUGCUGACGGGGAACCAAAUGGGCCAGGUGUCCAUGUGGCACCUCCCCUCCAUCGUCGCCAGUGUCGCGUUGGAGAUGAAGGGCCUCUCGCACCACAAAGCCGCCGCGGCAAGCAAAAUCUCGGAUUGCAGUCCAAUCACCGCGUCGGGCGGAGCAGGCACCAAGGCAGGGGAGGCGCAAACCGCCAAGGCUGCAGCGGUGGCCUCCGCAGAGGAGGAACGCGCAAAGGCUUUUGGUCGUGCGCCGCUGCAGGACAUAAACUUCGCCAACGACUACAGCGCUAUCCGCAGCAUCGCGAUAGAGCCUCUUGGCAGGUGGGCGGCCGUGGCGACCAACGUAGGCAAGGUGCACUUCAUCCGACUCGCCCGCGACGCCUCGGUGCGCGGGAGCAAGGCGGCCACGGCCUCCAGCCGAAGCGCGACGCAGCCCCUGAUCAUCGGCGUUGCCACCAGCAACGACCUGCCGGUCACCCCGCCGGGGCAGCAGGACCCGCACGCUAUGAGCCUCUCAGGCUCUGUGCAGCCAUCGCCCUAUAAGAGCCCCGGGAAAAUAUCGGCUUCCGAGAGCACCUCUGGUGUGCCGCCGCUGCGUCUGACACUGAUGGGGAGUGCCAGCUCCUACGGCGAGGGCGGGGCGGCCAAUAACAGCUACCACGGCCCACGUGAGGCCAUCUACCGCUCGGCUUUAGUGGUAAACGAGCUCAGCUCAAACGCGCAACGCGCCUCGGACAUGAGUGGGGAUGGCAUCGGCGGUGAGCUGGCGAACACGCGCAGCACCCCCAGCGGCGCCGCCUCGCACCUGAACAGCAUGGGCGCUGUUCUCCUGGACCACGUCGAGCAGCAACAAAAUUCGAACAGAAGUCGCAGCAGCUGCCCCGGUGGACACGCCUCCGCCGCGCAAGACGCGAAGCACGAGCAGCUAGCGCAGCCAUCAGCCGCGACGAAGCUCGCCGAGCAGCUCGAGAUGGAGGUGUUCGACACGAUUCAGGCGCAUUACAAGUACAUCCUGCGCGUGCUCAUUUCGCCCAACGCGGAGCUUCUUGUGACGUGCAGUGCCGACUACUCGGUCGGUCGGUUCUUGGUGCCGGCCGCCCUGCGGAUCUCGUCUUCAACGGCGGCGUCCGCCAGAACAGACACAAACGCCGGCUCGAAGUCUUCUGCACUGGCAGCAGCGAACGCGCCUUCGCAGCCUGCCUCCACGCGCCCGAGUGGCACUCGAAACGGCGACGAGGGCACGGGGGAGAGCGAAAACGUCGACUCACGUAUGCCGUGCUUUGUGCCCACGCAGGCGCUGGCGCCGACCACGGUGUCUCACACUGGUAGCGGCGACGAUCAGCAAGUGCAGGUACAGGUGCAGCAGCAUCAGCAGGGCGGCACGACGGACUCGAAGACGGACAGCAGCUCUCCGAAAGAAACCGAGACGGCCGCUGCUGCCGCCGGCAAUACCAACAACGCCGCCGCUCCCGACGCGGCUGCCUCUGGUCCUCUUAUCCACUCCUUCGACGGCAUCGCCAGCCCCGGCCUAGGUGACGGCGUAAGCGACGAGUCGCCGCAGCCAUGCAUGGAGUUCCAGUCCCUCAAGCCGCUCACCGGGCACAACCGCUGGGUCUGGGACGGCGUCUUCAGCGACUGCAGCAAUUUCCUUUUCACGGCGAGCAGCGACAACACCCUGCGCAUGUGGAAUGGGCUCAUGACGGAGCGCCCGCAGUCUGUCAGCUUUGUUGGGCACACCAAGCCCGUCGUGGCGGUGCUGCUGUGCUACGACAAGCGGCGCUUGAGUAUUGGAUAGCGCACACGCUCCACUUUGAAGCGAAAAGGGGAGCAGAAAAGCGAGAAGAGUCACGGCACACGAUGUGAAGUGGCGGGUAUGCAUCACCGUGGUGACGACGGCAUGGAUCUAUGCGUGGGUGCGCCCUGUUUUUUUUUGUUUGUUUGUUUUUUCGACAUCUGAAUGUGCUUGUUUGCGAGAGGGCGGGCGGGGGGGCAAGGGAGGUGGAUGAGGAGGAGACGGGAUCGUCGUCAUCGUCAUCGCGCGCAUCCUCUCAUCUCCCGCCCUCCCUCUCCUCGAGCGGGUGCAGGCUUAGAGCGUUCCAACACAACAUAAGUCAACGGAGCCCGCCCCCGCCCCCCCCCUCACACACACACAAACGCAAAAAAAAAGUUUCUUCCUGCUGCUGUGGUGGUGACAUUGGUGGUGACCCGUGGUCUUCUGCAACGCAAGAGCACCCUCUAGAUGGCUAGGCGUGAGGGAGAGGUAGUGGGGUUAGAAGGACCGGCUAGCGUGUGGCGGGGUGGUGUGGGGAGAAGGGCAGGGGAAGGGCCAGCGGGGAGGAAGAGGGUCGGGUGUCUCAGUGCAUUGAUUUGUGUGUGGGGUUGCCAGGGAGCAGUCCUGUCCUGUUGUCGUCGUCGCUUCUAGGAGGUUGUUACUGCUUGCGACGCGGCAUGCGGCGUUGGCGAAGCACUGCCGGUGGAGCUGAGCACCGCGUCUCUAUCUUCUCUCCUCUCCGCUCACCACCGCCGUUCACUUCAUGGUGCGUGGUUCGGGGUGCUUGAGGGAGUUUAGCAUCGCCUUUCCUUUGCUGCGUGGAGUGGUGAUGUGCGUCGUGCCAAUGUGUGGCGUUUCAAGUUGUCGUUGCUGUUAUUCCCACUUGGACUAGGCAGGCUUACCCUUUCGUUUCUUUUUGUAUAUAUAUAUAUAUAUGUGUGUGUGUGUGCGUGUGUCUUUGCUUCUUCGGCUGGCGGUGCCUCCGACCCACCCACUCACCCACCCACCCCCUCUCUUGCGGAGUGCGCUGUGCGCUGCGUUGCUUGUGUAUGUGAUGGACAGGCCGAAGGCUUUGUUGUUCGGUACUCGUGAGGGUCUCAUGGCGCGCUAGGGAAGGGUGGGGCGGCGGCGGCACGGACGGUCAAUCAUGUUUGGGUGCUGUCCUCUUGCUGGUCUGUGAGUAUGUUGAACGAAGCAAAAAAAAAAAGAAAACAUUUUUUUACGCUGAGUCUCUCCGCCCCCUUUUCUGUUUGUUUUCUGAAUGGAUGUCGCCGAAAAGACGACAAGAUGGCCAGCAGCCUCAUCACUUGAGGGAGGGAAAGUAAGGGAAGGGGCUCCGCCAGUGUAGUGAGGUGGCGACGGCGUGUGGUGGAGGCGAUUUACUUUUCUCGUGAGCGAAGCUGGCUGCGGACUGCCUCCGCGUUUCGAGCGCCUCCCUCCGAAAAAACAACACAGCAAUAAAAAGGGUGUGGGGACAUGCGUGCGUGCACCUGUGCGCACGUGCGUCCCCACCCCGCUCUGUUUGCCGGACCCCUCAUCGUGCCACAUACACACACACCUCUCGUUCCUCAAGGCAGCGUAUGGAUGACCGUGGCUCCAGUGGGCAUCGCCUCCUCGCCCCUCCUGCUUUUCUCUGUCUCCCGUUGUAACUAUCUGUGCUUGUGAGGGGGGGCCUCUUCCAG
rnacentral:misc_RNA from 1 species